CCCUAUGAAUGAAGUAUCCUAAAGGCACCAGAUCUCACUUGAUACUGGAAGCUAAACAGAGUCAGCUCUAGUUAGUAUUUGGAUGGGAGACUGCCCAAUGGAUACCAGAUGCUGUAGGCU
rnacentral:rRNA from 11 species